CAUGUACUCCCUCCGUCCCAAAAUAAGUGUCUCAACUUUGUACAAAGUUGAGACACUUAUUUUGGGACGGAGGGAGUAUUAU
rnacentral:pre_miRNA from 1 species